rnacentral:rRNA from 1 species
GACGAACGCUGGCGGCGUGCUUAACACAUGCAAGUCGAACGGAAAGGCCCUUCUUUUGUGGGGUGCUCGAGUGGCGAACGGGUGAGUAACACGUGAGUAACCUGCCCUUGACUUUGGGAUAACUUCAGGAAACUGGGGCUAAUACCGGAUAGGAGCUCCUGCUCCAUGGUGGGGGUUGGAAAGUUUCGGCGGUUGGGGAUGGACUCGCGGCUUAUCAGCUUGUUGGUGGGGUAGUGGCUUACCAAGGCUUUGACGGGUAGCCGGCCUGAGAGGGUGAACGGCGACAUUGGGACUGAGAGACGGAGCAGAGUCGUACGGGAGGCAGCAGGGGGGAGUAUUGCACAAUGGGGGGAAGCGUGAGGCAGAAACGCCGCGGGCGGGAUGACGGCCUUCGGGUUGUAAAACGCUGUCGCCUGUGACGAAGCGUGAGUGACGGUAAUGGGUAAAGAAGCACCGGCUAACUACGUG